rnacentral:pre_miRNA from 1 species
AAAGUACUCCCUCUGUUCGAAAUUACUUGUCGCAGAAAUGGAUGUAUCUAGACAUAUUUUAAUUCUAGAUACAUCCAUUUCCGAGACAAGUAAUUCCGAACGGAGGGAGUAGUAG